GGUUUAGUGUCUGAUAAAAAGAGUUAUUAUGAUGUGAUAAAAUAUGCACUAAUUUAGGCUUAAACUU
rnacentral:tRNA from 1 species